CAGUCGCCACGGUAAAACGUAGGUGGCAAGCGUUGUCCGGAAUUAUUGGGCGUAAAGGGCUCGCAGGCGGUUUCUUAAGUCUGAUGUGAAAGCCCCCGGCUCAACCGGGGAGGGUCAUUGGAAACUGGGAAACUUGAGUGCAGAAGAGGAGAGUGGAACUCCACGUGUAGCGGUGAAAUGCGUAGAGAUGUGGAGGAACACCAGUGGCGAAGGCGACUCUCUGGUCUGUAACUGACGCUGAGGAGCGAAAGCGUGGGGAGCGAACAGGAUUAGAUACCCGAGUAGUCCCUGUCUCUUAUAC
rnacentral:rRNA from 1 species